GCGUGUACCACAUGCAAGAUCGCACGAGAAAGUCCGCAAGGAUGAGUAAAGUGGCGUAUUGGUUAGUAGCACGUGGAUCAUCUACCUCAUAGUGGGGAAUACCUCCGGGAAACUGGGGACAAUACCGCAUAAGCUCGUGAGAGGAAAGCAGCAAUGCGCUGUGAGAGGAGUCCGCGGCUGAUUAGCUAGUUGGUGAGGUAACGGCCCACCAAGGCGAAGAUCGGUAGCCGGCCUGAGAGGGCACACGGCCACACUGGCGCUGAAACACGGGCCAGACUCCUACGGGAGGCAGCAGUGGG
rnacentral:rRNA from 1 species